GAUGAAGAACGCAGCGAAAUGCGAUAAGUAAUGUGAAUUGCAGAUUUCAGUGAAUCAUCGAAUCUUUGAACGCACCUUGCGCCCCUUGGUUAUUCCAAAGGGCAUGCCUGUUUGAGUAUCAUGAACACCUCAACUCUUGUGGUUUCCCACAAUGAGCUUGGACUGUGGAGGUUUUGUUGGCCCUGUGGUCAGCUCCUCUCAAAUGGAUCAGCUUACCGGUGUUUGGUGGCAUUACGGGUGUGAUAACUAUCUACGCUCGUGGUCGUCUCCAAAUAACCUCCAGUGAUGGAGGUUCGCUGGAGCUUAUAAAUGUCUCUCCCCAGUGAAGACAGCCUUUGAACGUUCGAUCUCAAAUCAGGUAGGACUACCCGCUGAACUUAAGCAUAUCAAUAAGCGGAGGA
rnacentral:misc_RNA from 1 species